ACACCGGCAGCUCAAGUGGUGGCCAUUUUUAUUGGGCCUAAAGCGUUCGUAGCCGGUUUGAUAAGUCUCUGGUGAAAUUUCACGGCUUAACCGUGAGAAGUUGCUGGAGAUACUAUUAGGCUUGAGGCCGGGAGAGGCUGGAGGUACUCCCAGGGUAGGGGUGAAAUCCUAUAAUCCUGGGAGGACCACCUGUGGCGAAAGGCGUCCAGCUGGAACGGACCUGACGGUGAGUAACGAAAGCCAGGGGCGC
rnacentral:rRNA from 1 species